UCGGGAAUUUUGGGCAAUGGGCGAAAGCCUGACCCAGCAACGCCGCGUGAAGGAUGAAGUAUUUCGGUAUGUAAACUUCGAAAGAAUAGGAAGAAUAAAUGACGGUACUAUUUAUAAGGUCCGGCUAACUACGUGCCAGCAGCCGCGGUAAUACGUAGGGACCAAGCGUUGUUCGGAUUUACUGGGCGUAAAGGGCGCGUAGGCGGUUUGUCAAGUCAGUUGUGAAAUCUCCGAGCUUAACUCGGAACGGUCAACUGAUACUGUCAAACUAGAGUACAGAAGGGGCAAUCGGAAUUCUUGGUGUAGCGGUGAAAUGCGUAGAUAUGCGGAGGAACACCGAUGGCGAAGGCAAUCCCCUGGACCUGUACUGACGCUCAUGCACGAAAGCGUGGGGAGCAAACAGGAUUAGAUACCCCCGUAGUCCCUGAGCGGGCUGGCAAGGCGCAU
rnacentral:rRNA from 1 species